rnacentral:rRNA from 2 species
GGAAACCGGAGCUAAUACCGGAUACGUUCUUUUCUCGCAUGAGAGAAGAUGGAAAGACGGUUUCGGCUGUCACUUAUAGAUGGGCCCGCGGCGCAUUAGCUAGUUGGUGAGGUAAUGGCUCACCAAGGCGACGAUGCGUAGCCGACCUGAGAGGGUGAUCGGCCACACUGGGACUGAGACACGGCCCAGACUCCUACGGGAGGCAGCAGUAGGGAAUCUUCCGCAAUGGACGAAAGUCUGACGGAGCAACGCCGCGUGAACGAAGAAGGCCUUCGGGUCGUAAAGUUCUGUUGUUAGGGAAGAACAAGUACCAGAGUAA